UUUCCGUAGGUGAACCUGCGGAAGGAUCAUUAUUGGCUGAAACACUUCUGGCUUUAUGCUGUUGUGAUGGCCCUUUGGGCAAUGUGCACACGGCUCUGGUCACUGGUUUCUACUGUUCCACCUGUGCACUGCCUGUAGAAACGCUGUGCCUAUGAUAUGUGUUAACACAGAACAGUGUUAGUGGGCAUGUUAUAGAUAAUAAGAAAAGAUACAACUUUCAGCAACGGAUCUCUUGGCUCUC
rnacentral:misc_RNA from 1 species